CUGCCUCCCUUCCUCACAGGAGCCCAGGUCUGAGCAGGCAUAUGUUCAACUACUUGUGGAAAGCACUCUGCAGUCUCCAGGGUGCCCUUACAAGUGAGCAGGCAAAAGUGCUUGCAACUGCAGUGCCAUCCAUGAGUUUGUUUGCUGCAGCCUGAAAAUACAAGGACACAAACUACUGAAUUGGAAACUAGGAAAAGGCCUCUUUAUGGAUUUCUUGGAGAACAUACUGAAUAAUUGCAACUACGAAUGGACAAAGAAUUCAGCUUGUUUUGUAUGACUUUCCAAAGUCAAUUAUCUACUGAUUACUGUCCCAUAGACAUGUACACUGACACAAACACUUUCUGUCACAAGAAAGGGAUGUUUGAGGAUGCUGUGAAGUGGUUUUCUUCUGGAGAAAAGAAAGGGAAGACAGUGGAAGAUGAGAAGGCCCAGAUUUGUCUGGAGAAUGAAAACAUGCUUACAUUUCUAAGCUUUAAAACAUAAGACUCAAAUGGCAUGUUGUUAUAUAAGACGAAUACACAUCUUUUUCUCCCAGAGCAGCUCCAUAACUCAUCUCUUAUUAACUACCUUCACCAACAAACCUCCGAUCUGCACACCACUCACUUUACUCCCAGAGUCCCUUCUUCAGGCUCCUCCAUCAUGACACCUGCAGUGUCUCUUGGGCUCAUUCAGCCUGCCAUCAUCAUCCAAAAGCCACCUUCUGGAUCAACCUCUACCUCCCACUGGAUUGCCUACCCCUGAAACUGUUUCCUUCCCAGCCUGUAUAUUGCAUAGACGUGGGGAUGCCGCAGUGCUGCAUCUUGAGGCAUGCCUGACCUACUGCAUUUGUGCACAACCACAAAUUCCUGGCUGGAACAGGAAAAAUAUGAAUCUUCCAUUAUAAUAUAUAUAUUAAAAUCUCAGAAACUAAGGCUGGCAUUUUGCAACUUCUGGGAGGCACUGUGGAGGAUGUUUAUCCUAAUCCUAUUUAUAGGGAGCCUGAUGCAUGGUUAUUAAGUGCUGGCCUCAACAAUGUGCAUUGAAAAAUCCCACCAAGCACCACUGCUCCAAAACAUCUCAUGUUAGUUGGUUAGAAAGCAAGCAGAAAUCCCAAAUCCCUUAAAGUACACUUUUACAGAUGACCCUUCCCUUAUUUUUGUCAGCCUUUGUUGCAUUCCUCCAGCAGUGGAGGGAGACCUGUUUUAUGGGUAGAUGGAUCUUGAUAGGAUUAACACAAAGCAGAUGCAGUCUGUCAGAAAGAACCCAUGACAUUUCCAUGCCCUAGCAGCAAUUUGAAUUACAGAUUCACACAAAGCAGCCUGUUGUCUCUGAUUUAGAUUUUUAUUUGCAUUGAAGAGGCUACUUCUCAAGAAUGAACUAUGCAUAUAAAAAUAGAAAGCAAAGGGGGGAAAAAUAGGGGGCUGAUCAAGAUGCAAGUGAAUAUAUAGAACUGUCAAUUCCACACCAUUCUGCCUUAACGCUUGUUUGCCUAGGCACAUCAGGCUUUUGCAGCACAUCAGCAUACCGUAAUAAUCAGCUCACUAAACCGCUCCAGCUGUGUGCGAGGUGCAUUUGCUUCCCUCGGGCUGUGUCCUGCCCCUCAGCCUGCCCUGAGACCUCCUGGAAAUGGGCAGCGCAGGGCUCAGCAGGUGUAGCAUGCUGACUGCAGACAGCAGUUAAGCCUGGCAUUUGUUUCACAAGGAUAAACGUUGUCAUUCCCACUUCUCUCAUGAUUUGGGAAGGGAUUUUGUUAUUUUCUAAUAUCUGUGAAAUCCUCUCUCCCUUAAGGGAGAGUGGGAGAUCAGCAGGAGAACCAGACCAGAUUUUUUGGCUCUCUUUCUGCAGCCUCUUUCUCCCUGCAGGCAGCAAAAGAAAUGGCUAAGAGCCCUCCACGUGGGCAGAGCAGAAGCUGUCAUUUUGAUUUCUCCUGGAUGCUCAACUCAAAAUGCUCAGCAAAACAGAGAAUUUCCCUGCAGCUAAUCCCUCCCAUCACUCCCCACCAUUGAUUAAAGGCUUCCAACAUCCUCCCCAGUGGGGUGGGUUUCUGGCCAAGGGAGAGAUUGGUCACAGCUUCAUGAAUACCAGGGGAAUGAGGCAGGGACCCCAAAGAUCUGGUGGGGAUCUGUGCAGGGUGUCAGAGGACCAGAAACUCCAGCAGGGAUGCUAAAUCCUGCUGCACCCACUGCUCUCCAGGCCCUCCACAUUCAGAAGUGGGCACCAGGAGAGUACCAUAAGGAGACACAGACAAGCAGAUGAGACUUUACUAUUGCUUCUCCCUCCACUCUCACCCCAGUUGCUUUGCACAGUUGGUUACACGUGAAAAGCUCAUGAGCCAACAGCAAUGAACUGAGCCAGCAAGGCAAGCCAUAGGACCACAAUAACCCAAGAUCCCGCAGUCCCACUGUGCUCAACACGUAGAGGAUCAGCCUCACAUUGGGUUUAUGGCUCACUCCCACUCCAGCCAGCUGCCAAGGAUGAUGUCUUUCACAGUUGUUCAUUGUCUAACUCACGGCUGCACAGCGGGGCCUCCUUUGACAGAUACACCCAAUCCUCACCACAGACAGGUAUUAACUUUAUUAAAGAAGGCAGUUACAAGAGGAGAACAAACCUUGCAGCCUGUCGGAUACACUCCACACGGGAAGAGUUACGUCCCACAUGCACAGUACUUUCACCUUCCUCCACAGAACAAGCUCUGGUAUAAAGUAUCAAGAUAUUUGUGCUCAGAUUUCCCUCGAGACAAUGGGUUUCCAAAUAAAUUGGAUGCUGCAUUACAUCUCUUUUCCAUUGGGGAGAAGGGGGAGACAAUAAAUUUAGAAACAAACCAAGAGUGAGACAGAGCACAAAAGAAAAUGAAAUCAGAAGGAGAGCAGGGAAGGCUCAUAAUAAAAGCAUAUCCCUUUGAAGCCACCGUCACAUACAUGCUUUUCCCUCUAGCUGCAGCCAUUUUGCAGAGCUUUAUUAAAAUAGCAUCUCUACAGAGGAAUUACUUAAAAGAGAGAAGUAAUAGAUUUUUCAGAACCAAUGAAAACAAGCCCCCUAGAAACAGGAGCUAUUUUCUUUCCCAGACAGGAGUUCUUUAAUUCCUUUCUCAUCUUCAUUCAUCACAGGGAUGGGAUGGAUCAAACCACAGCAGAGGUCUGUGAUGGUGCUGCCAACUGUCUUGAGAAUGCACUGGCCAGUCAAUAAACUAGUUAAAACA